AUUGGAAGCUGAAGCUGAUGCAGGCAAAUGAGUUGUCUUUUGUCUGUUGUUUUCGGACUUCCUAGAAUAAAGUGAAGGUCUCUGUCUGGUUUAGAAAAGCCAACUAAUCCAGAUCGUUCCCCUUUGUACAUU